UGAAAACCUUGGCAGAAGGAGAUUUAUUUGGUACCGUGAGCUUCUCUUGUAAAUAGCUCCCCGGGUGCCGUGUCUACAACCCACCUGUCAGCCCUUGGAGUGGAGGAGGCUGUGUGUUAUUGAUCCCGACCUGUGGCUGCACCCAGCAUGGUACUAGUAUCUAGCAGGUCAUAGAUGGCUGUCACUGUGGAGAAGUCAAUGCCGCAGGAACUUGAAGCAGCCUCUCACAUCUGCAGUCAAGAGCUGGAAGUGGGAGGACUUCUGUUCAGGUAGAGCCAGAUUCCUGUGUUCUCCCACACUCCUCCUUUUGCCAAGCCAGCCCUCUUCUAGUGCAUGCAGCCAUUCAACACGGACUGCUUGUGGCUCGCAGAACUGCGUUUGGAUUGGAGAGGGUGUCGAUUCAGGACAACAGCAUCGCCAUCAUCGGACACUCUCAACAGCUGCCUGUGGAUGCCAGCAGAUGUGUGUACUUCCUGCCAGUGGGAGCCUUUAUAUCACUGGUAUGAGAAGAAUAAUGAAAGACAGGAGAAACGGCCAACAGAAAGCUGCGUGAUGAAAAUUCACAGCUUUGACUAGAGCCCUCAGCACCAAAAGCAGGAGAUCAUGGAGGGUUUAUUCCAAGAAAGCCAGCUCUAAUUCUUUCAAAAGUAGCCCUGGGCUAAGAGGGCUCAGAACAGAACCCCACUGAGCCCAAAGAGUAGUUUGUUCUUGAGCCACAGAACUGCAUCGCUCCAAGGGGCCUCGGGGUCAUAUUAGUACAAUGGAGUGGAAAACGCAGAGCGACAGGGGAGGCUAAAACCUGCUUGAAGUGAGAGCCUUUCACUCAUCUGAGAGAAUUAGAGAAAGGCAGCCCUUUUCAGGGAGAUACAGCCCUGUGCUAAGGGGCAUAAGGUCGGAA
rnacentral:lncRNA from 1 species